rnacentral:rRNA from 1 species
ACGCUCGACACCUACUGGAGGCAGCAGUGGGGAAUAUUGCACAAUGGGGGAAACCCUGAUGCAGCGACGCCGCGUGAAGGAAGAAGUAUUUCGGUAUGUAAACUUCUAUCAGCAGGGAAGAAGAUGACGGUACCUGACUAAGAAGCCCCGGCUAACUACGUGCCCGCAGCCGCGGUAAUCUGAGCGGGCUGGCAAGGC